rnacentral:rRNA from 1 species
UACGUAGGUGGCAAGCGUUGUCCGGAUUUACUGGGCGUAAAGGGCGCGUAGGCUGUGCUGUAAGUCAGGCGUGAAAGCCCCGGGCUCAACCUGGGAAUUGCGCUUGAUACUGCGGCGCUGGAAGGUGGGAGAGGAUGGCGGAAUUCCCAGUGUAGAGGUGAAAUUCGUAGAUAUUGGGAAGAACACCGGUGGCGAAGGCGCCAUCUGGCCCUUUUUGACGCUGAGGCGCGAAAGCCGUGGGGAGCAACAGG